UAUCUCUGUAGAGUCUGCAUAUCAAUAAGCGGAGGAAAAGAAACUAACUAGGAUUCCCUUAGUAACGGCGAGUGAAGCGGGAAGAGCUCAAAUUUGAAAUCUUCAAGGUUUUACCUUGACGAAUUGUAGUUUAAAGAAGUGUUUUCUGUUGGAAGUUUGGUAAAAGUUCUUUGGAAUAGGACAUCAUAGAGGGUGAGAAUCCCGUAUUUGACCAUUACUUCCAGCUGUGUGAUACACUUUCAAAGAGUCGGAUUGUUUGGGAAUGCAGUCCAAAAUGGGUGGUAAAUUUCAUCUAAAGCUAAAUAUUGGCGAGAGACCGAUAGCGAACAAGUACCGUGAGGGAAAGAUGAAAAGAACUUUGAAAAGAGAGUUAAACAGUACGUGAAAUUGUCAAAAGGGAAGCGUUUGACACCAGUGUUGUUUUCUCGAAAAUCAAUUAAAAAUGGCUUGAUUUUGUGUUGUAUUGACCUUAUAAAGCUUUCUGCACUUUUUUCAUGUCUUUUUUAAUGCACUUUUCGUUUAACAAGUCAACAUCAAUUUCUUUUGUUGUAAAAAGGUCAUUGGAAGGUGGCUUUCUUCUUCGGAGAAAGUGUUUAUAGCCUUUGACUCCUGCAAUCGGAGAGACUGAGGUCUGCAGCGUAGAUCCUUCUGGGAUUAGAUUACAUUUGUGCUAAGUUAUAGCUUUUUAUAGACAACUUGUUGACUAUAUUAGUCCUUGUAGCUUACUCGCUUAUGCUAAUUUUACCUACGCUUAGGAUGUUGAACGCGCACAGAGUCUC
rnacentral:rRNA from 1 species